UACGUAGGGUGCAAGCGUUUGUCCGGAAUCAUUGGGCGUAAAGCGCACGUAGGCGGUCUGUUAUGUCGGGAUGUGAAAGCCCUUGGCUCAACUGAGGAAGUGCAUCCGAAACUGGGCAGGCUAGAGUACGAAAGAGGAUCGCGGAAUUCCCGGUGUAGAGGUGAAAUUCGUAGAUAUCGGGAGGAACACCGGUGGCGAAGGCGGCGAUCUGGGUCGAUACUGACGCUGAGGUGCGAAAGCCAGGGGAGCGAACGGG
rnacentral:rRNA from 1 species